CCGGCGGCUGCGCCGGGCAGGCCGCGGGCGGGGGCUCGCCCCGGCGAGGAAAGCCUGCGCGGCGGGAAGGCGGUCGUUGGUUUGGGGAGCUGAACCGGGGGGUGUCUCCGGAGGCAGGCAGGCGGCAGGGCUCGGGGCGAGCCGUCGCCGGCCGCCAAGCUCACGGGGGUGUCCUUCCCUGCUGCCGACAGGCUUCGUCAGGCUGCGCUCUCGGGGAGCAACUGGGUCUGGCGGGGCCGGCAGCCUUCGUGCGAGGAAGCGCAGAACGUGGGCAAGGCCUCCUCGCGGUGACGGGCAGCUGCCAGGCCUUGCUCUGUAAGCCCCGGACCGCAGAAGUCACGUCUCGCGCCCUUCGCCCCUGCCUAGAAACAGGGAAUGGCUCUGCCCCGAUAACUGCUAACCAGUCUCUUAGAAGAAGCUUGUCUCAGGAUGGCCUUGAUCUGACAUGA
rnacentral:lncRNA from 1 species